rnacentral:rRNA from 1 species
UGGGGAAUAUUGCACAAUGGGCGAAAGCCUGAUGCAGCAACGCCGCGUGAAGGAAGAAGGCCUUGGGUCGUAAACUUCUGUCCUUGGGAAGAAGAACUGACGGUACCCAAGGAGGAAGCCCCGGCUAACUACGUGCC